GAUGAACGCUAGCUACAGGCUUAACACAUGCAAGUCGAGGGGAAACGAUAGAGAAAGCUUGCUUUUUCUAGGCGUCGACCGGCGCACGGGUGAGUAACGCGUAUCCAACCUGCCCAUCACUUGGGGAUAACCUUGCGAAAGUAAGACUAAUACCCAAUGACGUCUCUAGAAGACAUCUGAAAGAGAUUAAAGAUUUAUCGGUGAUGGAUGGGGAUGCGUCUGAUUAGCUUGUUGGCGGGGUAACGGCCCACCAAGGCGACGAUCAGUAGGGGUUCUGAGAGGAAGGUCCCCCCANAUUGGAACUGAGACACGGUCCAAACUCCUACGGGAGGCAGCAGUGAGGAAUAUUGGUCAAUGGACGAGAGUCUGAACCAGCCAAGUAGCGUGCAGGAUGACGGCCCUAUGGGUUGUAAACUGCUUUUAUAAAGGAUAAAGUCGGGUAUGGAUACCCGUUUGCAUGUACUUAUGAAUAAGGAUCGGCUAACUCCGUGCCAGCAGCCGC
rnacentral:rRNA from 1 species